ACGGGAGGCAGCAGUGAGGAAUAUUGGUCAAUGGGCGAGAGCCUGANCCAGCCAUCCCGCGUGCAGGAAGAAUGCCNUAUGGGUUGUAAANUGCUUUUUCGCAUGAAGAACNCCCCUGANGUGUCAGGGGCUGACGGUAANGCGUGAAUAAGCACCGGCUAACUCCGUNCCAGCAGNCGCGGUAAUACGGAGGGNGCNANCGUUAUCCGGAUUUAUUGGGUUUAAAGGGUGCGUAGGCGGCUUUUUAAGUCAGNGGUGAAAUCCNGCAGNUCAANNGUAGAACAGCCAUUGAAACUGAAGAGCUUGAGUAAUNNUGAGGUAGGCGGAAUGUGUAGUGUAGCGGUGAAAUGCUUAGAUAUUACACAGAACACCGAUUGCGAAGGCAGCUUACUAAGGAUUUACUGACGCUGAUGCACGAAAGCGUGGGGAUCAAACAGGAUUAGAUACCCUGGUAGUCCACGCCGUAAACGAUGAUAACUCGCUGUUGGCGAUACACAGUCAGCGGCUUAGCGAAAGCG
rnacentral:rRNA from 1 species